ACCCCCAUAAAAAAUAGAAGCAGACUUUACCCUCUCCUAAGCUUCUCAAAACUCUCUCUACCCUCUCCGUAUAUAUGAGUUUUAGCUUUCAAUUGUUUGGUCAAAACUAUAGGGGAAAUCCAAAAAUCCAAGUAAUUUUGUUCGAUAAGGAGGAGAAAAUAGCACUAUUAUAUACUUGUAAUAGAGAGCAAAAAUUGCAGUAGUAGAAGAAGAUGGAUGUAAUUGUCAUUUCAUUGCCUUUGGUCAUAUUGAUAUUGAUCGUAGCUGUUGUUUGUUAUCUAUGUGGAAGAUCGUGUUAAUUAAUAAUACAUGGAUUAUGAACCCUACGAAGAAGAAGAGGAAAUUCAGAGAGAAAGAUGUAAUUUUAUUUAGUAAUGUGUAUUGAAAAUGAAAAGUAUGUUUAAGUAGAUUCAGAUUCAGAUUCAAGGUUAUGAGUAAAAUUUAUUAUAUGUAAGUGAAUUUGUCAAUUAAUAUAGUUGAACUUAUAGCUUGUUUGGUCAA